rnacentral:lncRNA from 1 species
AUGAGAAGUCCCGGGAAGCUAGCUCAAAUCAGAGAAAUAUUAGUGGCUGAGGCAGGAAGUGAUGGACUUAAAGAUGGCAGAGCCACAAAAUUGAAAAAAGCCUACAUACUUUUGUCAUUGCUUAGAGGUAAGCCCCCUAGGAAAGCCCCCACCCAAACCUACAUCAGACUUUAUGUUAAGCCCAUGAGAUUUACAGCAUUACCUGUUCCAUAGUAAGCCUUAGUUACCCUGAUUAAUGCAGAUAUCAAUAACUUGAGGCAUCACUAUACUGAAUUCUCUAGUGAAUCAAAUACAGUUCAUAUUAGAUUAGUUUUGUAAACAGGAAAAAUCAUGUUUGGAAUGGCAGGUUUUAUUUAUAUGAAUCAGAUAGACUGAAAUUCAAUGAUAACUAAAUUAUGAAGAUUAGAGAAAUUAUGUAUAAUAGAAUGAAGGAGAAUAUCACAUUCAAGAAAAAUUCUGGUCAGGCACAGUGGCUCAUACCUGUAGUCCCAGCACUUUGGGAGGUUGAGGACAGAGGAUUGCUUGAGCCCUGGAGUUUGAGACCAGCCUGGGCAACUGAGUGAGACUAUGUUUCUGCAAAAAAUUAAAAAAUAAAAAAAUGAGCUGGUGUGGUGGUGCAUGCCUAUAGUCCUAGCUACUAGGAAGGUUGAGGUUGAGGGAUUGCUUGAGCCCAGGAGGUUGAGGAGGUUCCAGUGAGCCAUGAUUGUGCCACUGCACUCCAGCCUGGGUACAGACUAAGACCCUGUUUCAAAAAAAAAAAGAAAAAGAAAAAAGAAAAAUUAGGGGAAACUCUUCAAGUACUACACAACUUAGAUACCAUCAAACAUUCCUUCAUUGUUGUGCACACCUACCAUCUACACUAAUGACUACACAACUUAGAUACCAUCAAACAUUCCUUCACUGUUGUGCACAUCUACCAUCUACACUACUAGUUAUAGCAUCCUUGUGAGUAGAGUUAUCGUCUAAUCUCUGCUUAUAAUACAAACACAUAACAUCUUAUUUUGUAUGGAGUGUGUGUUCAAUGAUGAUGAUCAUGUUGAUGAAGAUGACAAUGAUGAUGAUGGUUUUAAUAGAGUUGGGGGAAAUGUAUACCAGCAUUAUAUUAUGGAGAUUACACACAGCACUUCCAAAGAAGGAAUUUGGAGUUAAUUAAAGCUAUUUUUCCUUUAUUUCAUGUUUUUCCACUCCCAAUAUAGAAUUUCUAACAAUGCCAAAUUAAGUUUCCUUUUCUUUUUUUUUUUUUUUUCAUUUUUCAUCUUCUAAAAAAUUGUGGUCCUUUCAUCUCUUACAUAGGUAUCAAGAUUUAUCAUCUGAUCAUUUUCACAAAAACCUUUACUUUUAAGCUUUCCUCUAACAUUGUAAUUGUGAAAAUGAAAUAAUACAUAUAAAAUCCUAAUUGGCAUUAUCCUUUUUCUGAUGUAACAAUGUGCCUCUUCCAGAAAUGCAAAUGUCAACACUUGUCAUCUCACUUUUUUCCAGCUGAUAUGUGAAUAAUUAAUCUUUCAGUGUGUCCACACCCUGAAGGAAGUCACAAGAAGGAUUCCCUACCCAAAUAAAGAAGAGUUCGAGUACAUAAGUGAUAGUGCUGAGAUAAGUCUCCAAGUCCAUUUUCAGCACUUAAACACGAAUGGCAAUACAUAUACAGUAAGUGGUUUGGUUUUGUUGAUGGAAAUUAUAAGGACAAAGUCUUGUUCACUCUGUCAUCUGUGCAGAAAUAACAGAGAUAUCUAUUCUAGUUGUUCUGGCAGAUAACACAUUAAAGUCAUAUAGAAAAUGGGAUGACUGGAAGAAUGAAAAACUUUACACAAAUACUAUAGGCCUCCUUUUAAAAUUAGCUUUAGAAAAAACAGAAAACUUGUAAUGUUAACUAAGAAAGCAAGUACAAAAGAGAACAAAGAAAAGGUUAAAAAAAAAAACGUAUCUAGAAGUGAGGUAAAAGCAUGGACAAAGGUUAUUUUUUGUUUUAAAUGUAGUGGAGAAAAGAGACCAAAAAAAUGACGAGAUAUAACAAAGAGCUCAAAGUAAUUCAGGCUUGUCCUGUUUUACUUUAUUCCAAUUUUCCACUGAAUAAUGGUCAUGAAAACAGAAAAGGGGCAGGGUUAUCUCAGAUGGGAAACAAGCACAUAGAGUGAGAGCACAGCAUGAACUACAGAAAAGAUGGUUGUAAGUACAAAGGAGAAAAUAACUUGCCUUAGUUGGUGAAGGACCACUCCCCCUUCAAAUUUGUUUCAAAAAUUUUUCAUGUCUGAAUAGAAAUACAGGCAGGUGAUACAAAAUUAAAGGCCCGAGAGGACCUUUUUGUUGUGCGUGUGCACUUAUGUUUAU